CUGCCCGCCCCGCCCGCCCAGGGCCAGUGGCCGCACGGAGGUGUCGGAGGGGCGGGGGCUCGUCUUCCACCACGCUGCAGGAGAAGGGGCCCUGUCUCCCCGGACGACCGGAGAUGGGCGGGGGUGGCAGACUCAAGCGCGGCCUCACAGCGGAUUUCUCCACCCCUGACAAAAGGGGGCUUGGACGAAGGAGGCGGAGCCAAGUGCCAAAUGAAAAAGGAGGAAUGCAGGAAGCGGAGUUUCAAAACUAAAAGACAAAUCUGGGGUACAUGCUGGCUGCUGUCACGGAGAUUAAGGGGUCUUUUCUGGCCCCCUCGGCCUCCCAGUUUACACUCUGCAGAGUCGGUCACAAAGUACCGCGACAUUCUGAAAUGGAGCAAAAAAGGACAAUGCCAAGAACGUGAACUUAAGAGGUGGGAAACAAAGGGAAUGGGAGGGGGGUAGUGCGACUGUCAAGCAAUCCAGCAGGUCAGAACUAAGUUAGAGAAGACAAUGAAAGUGACAAAAGCAAAGAGAAACAGAAAAUGUUGCUGGACAGGAGGAACAGCGCGCAGGCAUCCUGCCAGGCCUGAGCACCUGGGCUCAAGGUUCAUAACCCCUGAACCAGUGAACAAAACUACAGGAGCUGAAAUGUUUAAACCGAGGGCUUAGGGGAAGUAGUACACACCCUCCUGGUACUUCUAAUCUUUUCAUUAGGUUCUAGGUUUUACCUGAGUAAUGGAAGGAAGUUAGGAAAACUACUUUGAACAAGCUAGCUAACACUCUGAACAGAAGCUGUUUCCCACUGAUAGGUCUGAUUUUGUUCUGUUUCAGAUGAUAACUAUCACUUAACAUCUUUACACUGAUAGGGCAAAGGUAAGCAAGCAGAAUUGAAGAUGUAAAUGUGCUAGGUAGUAUUUGGUGAUCCUUUUAAGACACACACCUCAAGUAUUCAUUAUGAAAUUUUUCAGACAUGAUACAAAAUAGGAUUUUUGCUACUGUAGGAUAAUUAGAGGUAUGAUUACUUCAGAAUAUUAUAUUUUCCCUAAGAAAGCUAAGAAUAGAAGGUAACAAACAGUGUUUCUGUUUGUUUUUCAAGGUAUUUUACACAUGAUUGUUUUAAAGCCCUUUUUAAAAAUGAAAAUCAACAGUUGUCUCCAAAGCACAGAUCUGUUCUACUCUGUAAGAAGAAAUGUGAAAAUUAAGGAAAUAAAUGAGGAAAGUGUAUUGUUUCUUAGCCUCUUCUUUUAAAAUCAAAUUUUGGUUCUUCUGGGUUUGUUUCCUUCAAGUUCUCAUUACUGUAAAAAUGAAGCACUUUUUAAUGCAAGUGGUUAAAAUAUCAGAGGGAUUAUAACUCCCCCAAGCAUCAUUUGAAAUAACCACAAUUUUUACUCUUGAUGUUGAUAUAUAUAAUCAAAUAUCUUGGUGAAUGAGGAGAACAAAUGAAAUAAA